rnacentral:rRNA from 1 species
UACGGGGGGGGCAAGCAUUGUUCGGAAUUACUGGGCGUAAAGGGCUCGUAGGCGGCCAACUAAGUCAGACGUGAAAUCCCUCGGCUUAACCGGGGAACUGCGUCUGAUACUGGAUGGCUUGAGUUUGGGAGAGGGAUGCGGAAUUCCAGGUGUAGCGGUGAAAUGCGUAGAUAUCUGGAGGAACACCGGUGGCGAAGGCGGCUCACUGGCCCGAUACUGACGCUGAGGCACGAAAGCGUGGGGAGCAAACAGG